rnacentral:snRNA from 1 species
AUACUUACUUGGAUGAAGUCAAUGGAUGAUCAAGAAUGCACAUGGCCUAAUCAAGUAACCUCCGUUGCACUUAAAAGAGGAGAUACUUGUGUAAGGUCUAUGUGAUGAAUUUUACAUCAUAAUUUGCGAUUGCAGUGACAUAUAUUCGCACAACCCUCAU